AUGCAAGCAUUCCAGCAUGGGGGGGUCUGAGGUGGCCCCAUCAUUCCUAUAGUGCUUGCCAGAGCAGCAUUGGGAUGGUUUGAGGCCUCUCCCCGCUCACCCCAGGGAGUGGUUAUAGGAAUCCUGGACAUCC